rnacentral:lncRNA from 1 species
AUGGACGUGUGUGCUACUUUGGUAAACAGAAUUGCUAUAGGCGUACUCAUUGAUUAACCAAUUGCAUAGAUGCACUAUUUGACAAAAUAUCUAAACACAGUCAUCCAGUUACUGUUUAUUACAAUUACGAGUUGACAAGCGGUCAGCUUCAAGCAAUUUUUGUGCAAUAACUUUUCAACCGUUUAACCAAUGCUUGUCAAAUUUUAAAUGUUGUUACUGAUGACAAAGUGAAGAUUAUGCAGUCAAUUCUUGAUAAUAUCCUUUUCAUUUAGAAUUAUUAAAAUAUGUUACUAUUUUCUAUUCUUCUCUUCCAUGUUUGCUCUUUUGCUUUGCUUAUAAAGUGUCUAUAUGCCAUUAUGAUUUUCAUUGUAAAAAUAGGUGUUUUAUAGUGAAAAAUAUUUUAACACAAUGUUGAUUGCUGUACCCCAACUUUUAACAAUUUUACCUAUUGUAUCUGUUUGUUUUGCUCACAAAUGAUUGUCAAUAAAAUGGAAUUAUAUACGAUUG